AUUGAACGCUGGCGGCAUGCUUUACACAUGCAAGUCGAACGGCAGCACGGGCUUCGGCCUGGUGGCGAGUGGCGAACGGGUGAGUAAUGCAUCGGAACGUGCCCAUUUGUGGGGGAUAACUACGCGAAAGCGUGGCUAAUACCGCAUACGCCCUGAGGGGGAAAGCGGGGGAUUCUUCGGAACCUCGCGCAAUUGGAGCGGCCGAUGUCAGAUUAGCUUGUUGGUGAGGUAAAGGCUCACCAAGGCGACGAUCUGUAGCGGGUCUGAGAGGAUGAUCCGCCACACUGGGACUGAGACACGGCCCAGACUCCUACGGGAGGCAGCAGUGGGGAAUUUUGGACAAUGGGGGCAACCCUGAUCCAGCCAUGCCGCGUGAGUGAAGAAGGCCUGG
rnacentral:rRNA from 1 species